rnacentral:lncRNA from 1 species
UUUUUUUUGUUUACAGAUUAAAAUAAUUGAAUAAAAGUAAAAAGUUUACCAAAAAUAAAUAUAUGAGAGUAUUGUUGAUGUUCGAUGAAAAAAUAUAAACCAAAUUUUAGUUUUUAGUUUAAUAAAUCUAAACAUUUAUUAAUUGUUUAUAUAGGAUUUUUAUGGGUUUAAUUAGUAAAAAAUAUUAUAAUAAAAAUAAAAAUAACAGCUACACUACCAAAGUUGAGGAAAUAGUUUUGGAAACCUCUAAGUUUCCAAUAACAGAUAUCAAGACUUAUUUUUUAUCAUAAUAUCCUUUGAAUAUUGAUAUAACUUAAAAGUUAUUUCUAACUCCUAAGUAUAAGAGUGUCUUGUUAUAUUAUACCUCGGUCUCGAUUCACAGAAAAAAAAUUUAAUUUGUUUAUUUUAUUUUAUCUAAAAAUGAAAACAAAACUUGAAUAUAUGCAACUUAAUUUAAGUGAAACCAUGGAAUUGAAUUAGUUAGGGUUAUGGAUCCACUCUUAGUAAUAAAUAAAAUUUAAUCAAUUCUUUUUGCCAUUUUUUAUUUAGAUUUAUUGCCCAAAAGAUUUAUUAUAUAAAUUAUUAUUAUUUUCUCAUUAAUUUUAUUAUGGAUUAAGUAUUUAGUGUGCCAAAAUUUAAUUUGUUUACAAUAAGUCAAAAUAUCAUUUUACCAAACCUUAUAUUGAGAUAUUAAGAAUUUAUUGUGC